rnacentral:rRNA from 1 species
AUUGAACGCUGGCGGCAUGCUUUACACAUGCAAGUCGAGCGGGGUUUUCGGACCUAGCGGCGGACGGGUGAGUAAUGCGUAGGAAGCUACCCGAUAGAGGGGGAUACCAGUUGGAAACGACUGUUAAUACCGCAUAAUGUCUACGGACCAAAGUGUGGGACCUUCGGGCCACAUGCUAUCGGAUGCGCCUACGUGGGAUUCGCGAGUUGGUGGGGUAAUGGCUCCCCAAGGUGACGAUCCCUAGCUGGUUUGUGAGGAUGAUCAGCCACACUGGGAGUGAGACACGGGCCAGACUCCUACGUGAGGCAGGAGUGGGGAAUAUUGGACAAUGGGCGCAAGCCUGAUCCAGCCAUGCCGCGUGUGGGAAGAAGGCCUUCGGGGUGUAAAGCACUUUCAGUAGGGAGGAAGGGUGUUGUGUUAAUAGCACAGCAUUUUGACGUUACCUACAGAAGAAGCACCGGCUAACUCUGUGCCAGCCGCCGCAGUAUCAC